rnacentral:rRNA from 1 species
UACGAAGGGGCUAGCGUUGCUCGGAAUCACUGGGCGUAAAGGGUGCGUAGGCGGGUUUUAAGUCAGGGGUGAAAUCCUGGAGCUCAACUCCAGAACUGCCUUUGAUACUGAAGAUCUUGAGUCCGGGAGAGGUGAGUGGAACUGCGAGUGUAGAGGUGAAAUUCGUAGAUAUUCGCAAGAACACCAGUGGCGAAGGCGGCUCACUGGCCCGGUACUGACGCUGAGGCACGAAAGCGUGGGAGCAACAGGG